rnacentral:tRNA from 4 species
GGUCCACUAGCCCAAUUGGUAGAGGCGACAGGUUUAGGCCCUGUGCGGUGGCGGUUCGAAUCCGUCGUGGACUAC